CCUACGGGAGGCUGCAGUGAGGAAUAUUGGUCAAUGGGCGAAAGCCUGAACCAGCCAAGCCGCGUGAGGGAGGACGGCCCUAUGGGUUGUAAACCUCUUUUGUCGGGGAGCAAAAGCCGGACGUGUCCGGCUGGGAGAGUACCCGAAAAAAAAGCAUCGGCUAACUCCGUGCCAGCAGCCGCGGUAAUACGGAGGAGGCGAGCGUUAUCCGGAUUUAUUGGGUUUAAGGGGUGCGCAGGCGGAUUUUGAAGUUAGAGGUAAAAUCGCGGGGCUCAACCCCAUCCAGCCGUUGAAACUGGGGAUCUAGAGUGUGCGAGAGGUAGGCGGAAUGCGUGGUGUAGCGGUGAAAUGCAUAGAUAUCACGCAGAACCCCGAUUGCGAAGGCAGCAUACCGGUGCACAACUGACGCUCAGGCACGAAAGCGUGGGUAUCGAACAGGAUUAGAUACCCGAGUAGUC
rnacentral:rRNA from 1 species